UUUCCGUAGGUGAACCUGCGGAAGGAUCAUUCAUAAAGGACAUGCAGGAAUUGAGAUAACUCUUCCUUGUCAUUCUUCCUUUUUCGCSCACUUUCUUAACUAUUUUUUUUAUUGUCAACCAAACCAUUCAAAACAAAAACUAAACAAAACAUAUUUUACAAAACUCGUGGCGGUGGAUGUCUAGGCUCCGGUAACGAUGAAGAACGCAGCGAAAUGCGAUACGUAAUGCGAAUUGCAGAACCCGUGAAUCAUCGAAUUUUUGAACGCAAGUGGCGCUCGUGGGCAAUCCUGCGAGCAUGUCUGUUUGAGUGUCCAGUGUGAAAAGAUUUGGUUCCCUUUGAACGGCCGGUAUACGGUCUGUUUGGGGAGCUGCUGAUGGGUGCACGAAUGUGUAGUCCUUGCCGGCGAUACCGUUGGCGGGGUCACCUGAAGAAUAGAGUGUCGGGGGAUAGUUUGCGUCUUAUGGCCGGGCUUUGUCUGAUUCCUGUAAAAGGGAAUGUUGGGCUCCCACAGCGUUGCGAAGUAAUGUGAAAGUUACGGGAAGCAAGGUUGCAGGGUGUUUGAUACCGGGAACGGGCAGCGGGGUUUGUGCUUGGGAUUGCGGCUGUUUCACUGGUCUUGAACUAAUCUAACGAUUGCAACACAACAAUUUGGAUCUCAAAUCAGACAAGACGACCCGCUGAAUUUAAG
rnacentral:rRNA from 1 species